CAUGUUGAAGAAAAAAAGAAAAGACAUUAGAUUAUAACUAAUAACUAUAAUAAAGUCGUUCCCGUCUAACUCCAUUACGGGAGCUGACGUCACCGCCGGUCACAAAAAAUGCACGGCCAAUCUCCCUUUGAGUCAGAAUCCGAUGCUUCUUCUUCACUCGCUCUCUCUCUCUCUCACCAUUUCUCUCUCUCAAUCCCCAAACCCACUCAAACCUCCGACCCAUCUCCCUAAAUGGAUCGCCCGGGUCCGCGCCACGCCACCCGACCCAGCCCCGGAUCCGGAUCCGGAUCGGGCGGUGGAGGACGCGAGGACUGUUGGAGUGAAGGCGCGACGGAGACACUAAUCGAAGCGUGGGGUGACCGUUACGUCCAACUUAACAGAGGUAACCUCCGUCAGAAAGAUUGGAAGGAAGUCGCCGACGCCGUCAACAACCGUCAAAACGGCGUCAAGCCACGUAAGACUGACAUCCAGUGCAAGAACCGCAUCGACACGUUGAAGAAGAAGUACAAGGUGGAGAAGGCCAAACAGCCGCCGUCAAAGUGGCCGUUUUAUUACCGUCUCCACUCUCUCAUCGGCACCGCUAACGCCGUCAACAAGAAACCCACCACCGUUACUUUCACCGUCAAACCCAAAUCGAACCCUAACCCUACCCCCACCGACAGUGAUGAUGAUGAAGACGAUGAAGAAGACGACGUCGUAGUGAGGAAGAAUAGAGUGGAGAGCGUAGAUUUCUCAGAUGGAGCUGCGUGUAAAGAAUUGGCGAGAGCGAUAUUGAAGUUCGGGGAGAUAUAUGAGAGGAUUGAGAGCUCGAAGCAGCAACAGAUGAUGGAGUUGGAGAAGCAGAGGAUGGAGUUCACUAAGGACCUUGAGUUUCAGAGGAUGAACAUGUUCAUGGAUGCUCAAUUGGAGAUCGAGAAAUCGAAGCGAGCUAAGUACUCGCCGAGCUCAGGUGAUAAUUUUGUAAGAGACUCAGUUUUCGCGUAUUUGUUUAGUGAUUCGUAUUUUUCUUGAUUUAAUUUGUGAGCAAUUUGGACCUUGUUUUUGAAUUAUGAAUAAAAGUGAGAAAUUUGGAUUUGAUUGUAUAGUUUUGUGGGGAUUAUGUGGUGAAAGUUGGGUGGUAUUUGUGGGCAUUAUGAAACUAAUGUACAAAGAAGAGAGAGCAGUGUUGCAGUGUGUGAGAAGGAAUGAUUUGGAUUUUCCUGUACUUCUCAUUGAUUUAAUGUGGGUUUGAUAUUAUGUUCAAACGGUUUAAGUGUUUUUUAGUUUUUUUAUUUUUAAAUAGUAUCAAAUGAUUUUUCCUUAAUUUUUGAUGAGUUUCGUUCGGCCUGGAAAUACGAGAUCUCAAUUCUUAUUUUAUCAGUUUACUUAAACGAGAAUGUGGGAUGAUCGAAGUUUUGGAUUUAUGUGUUUGAUGGUGUUUAAUCUCAUUGAGGCCAUUGGUGAAGCCACUAAGAGAGAACCCAAUGUUGGUCCAAUAUCCAGGUUUGGCCUGGAAGACAGUUGAACAGCUCAAAUUCAACAUGCACUGUCAAAACCUAAUGUAAUUGUAGCCCUGAGGUAGGGUUUUGUUGGGUUGCGGGCAAUUUGCCGGGGCUCAGGUUGGCGGUAAAAUCCCAAUUUUCCUGAAUUGUGUCUCUAGUAAUUUGAAGCUGUGAUGACUGUAAAACUUUUGAGACAUGAUAGGAAUUUUAAGCCAGAGAGGACAUGAUCACAUGAAGCUGGGGCUUAUGUUGAUUUGAUAGGAAUUUGGUUGGAAUGACUUUCAAGUCAGAGAGGGCAUGAUCAGAAUUUGAUGGGAUUGAAUCACCCAGGGAAGAAGUUAUAAGCUGAGAUUGCACGAAUGCUUUUCGUUCUUCAAGUGGGGAAGUACAGCCUCUUGAUCUCUUUUGAAACAUGCUUUCGAACUCUUCUGUUUAAAAGACAUGUUGUCCAUGAAAGCUUUUGAACAUGAUGUGGCAGUGUUGUAUAAUUGUUGUAACAUUCAGUGUACAUGAUUAGUUAUUUUGCCACAUAUCAUAUCCUGUACUUGUGUUUUGUAAUUACCGUGUGAUUAAUGCUACUUUCUUUAUUCAUAGAUCUCAAAGUUUCUGUUAUGAAGUGCGGAGGAA